rnacentral:rRNA from 1 species
AAAGAAACUAACAAGGAUUCCCCUAGUAACGGCGAGUGAAGCGGGAAGAGCACAAAUUUAAAAUCUACCUGGUUUCUAGGUCGAGUUGUAAUUUGAAGAAACGUUUUUGACGUUCCGGGUUGGGAUAAAUCCUUUGGGAUGAGGUAUCAUGGAGGGUGAGAAUCCCGUGUAUACCAACCGCAGGGAUGUUAUUUAAUACGUUUUCUAAGAGUCGAGUUGUUUGGGAAUGCAGCUCUAAAUGGGUGGUAAAUUUCACCUAAUGCUAAAUAUAAGCGAGAGACCGAUAGCGAACAAGUACCGUGAGGGAAAGAUGAAAAGAACUUUGAAAAGAGAGUUAAAUAGUACGUGAAAUUGUUGAAAGGGAAACGAUUGAAGUCAGUCAUGCCGGCGGGAAUCAACUUAGGGGAAACUUUAAGUGCACUUCACGUUUGGCAGGUCAGCGUCGAUUUUGGAUAUCAUAAAAUGAUUGGGGGAAGGUAGCUCCUUCGGGAGUGUUAUAGCCCUUGAUAGAUGUGAUGUCUGGGAUCGAGGAUUGCAACGGAUAUCCUUUGGGCUAGCCGCCUGAUCUCUAACUGGUGUUAGGUUACGGACAGCAUGCUGACCGUGAUUUAAUUACUGGUUAAAAGGUUAGAGCGAGUGUAAAUUCGUUAAGGACGCU